UACGGGAGGCAGCAGUGAGGAAUAUUGGUCAAUGGGCGAGAGCCUGAACCAGCCAAGUAGCGUGCAGGAUGACGGCCCUACGGGUUGUAAACUGCUUUUAUGCGGGGAUAAAGUGAGGGACUUGUCCCUUUUUGCAGGUACCGCAUGAAUAAGGACCGGCUAAUUCCGUGCCAGCAGCCGCGGUAAU
rnacentral:rRNA from 1 species